AGAAUGCGAUCCUAACGAUGGAGCAGCGGAAUUACUUCUCCCUGUACUGCCUCCAUCAAGAGACGCAGCUCAUUCACAUCUACCUUCCGCUCACCUCUCACAUCCUGGGCGCUUUUGUCAACUCUCAGAUCCAAGGCCACAAAGAGAUGAGCAAAGUCUGGAACGAACUGAAACCCAAGCUGAGCUGCCUCUUUGCGGGAUCCAGCAAUGUGCUGAUGUUGCCCCUGUCUGCCCAAGAGGACAAUUUUCUUCCCAGUUAAUGCUUUGGGAUUCAGGAUGGGAGGAGCUGGAGGGAAGGUCUGUCCUUGCCACUGACUGCUCCUAUCCAGGUAUUAACAAUAUUCUCCUCUUGGCAAGUCCUUUUUUGCCUUCCAGGGACUGAUUUGAAGGGUUCCAUGAUUUAGAGGAGGCCUGAAAUGUGACUGUACAAAGGCUCUCUGGUGUUUAUCAUUUUUGAUUUCCGUGGUGGAGGCCCACGUCAGGGCUGCUCAGAUUUUGCGAUGCUGCAACCUGUCGAAAUUGGCAGAUGAGUUUGUGGGACUCGCCCCUCGUCCAGGAAUAAAACAAAUAAUUAGGAUUAGGGUUGGGCAAGACAUAUACGUACCAUUGAUUAAAGGGCCUGUAACUUCCUUAAUCGGCAUUCCCAACAUCCUGAGCUUUUCUCUUGUCGCCCAACCAACCCAUUUCCGCUUUGAAAAGCCAGACAUUUAAAGGAACAGAAAUGUAACUUCACUGACAUAUACGCUUCUACAGAUGCUGUGGAAGGGUGGCUAUAUUACGACAUGCCCCCUGAGAAAUUGCCAGCUGACUCACAGAUGACUAGAGCCAUGAAUUUAGCCAUCUCUCAAAACAUACUUCCAGCCUGCCUCCAUUUAAGUCUCUUAAACUUCUUGGUGUUUCUUAGAACCAGUUUUGAAUAAAGAUAGAUAAAUCUCUUCAAAUAGUGGUUUCAGAAUGGCAGGAUUAGGAGUUUCUCCCCAGAACUUCUGACUCCUGUUUCUAGUGUGGUUUAUCUGGAAGAGGCAAGACUUUUUUGUUUUCUUGUCUUAUAGUUAAGCGGGAAGCCAAAGUUGUACAUUAAUUAACAGGGAAUUAAUUCAGACCGGCACCCUAAUUCAGAGUGCGUGCAUGCCCAACUCUGCCAUUGGGACCUAGACUUUUUUAGGACCAAUUUGUAGCUCAGCCUGGCCCUGAAGCUUUCUCCUUGCACCUUUGUCAAAAGCAUCACUUUAAGCCUGCUGCUGACGACAAAGCAGGCUGCACACCAUUCAGAACCUCACGCCAUCCACAUUUCUGCUUGCUUUUGCAGAAAAAAAACUGACUUGCUUUUUCUUUUAUAUGUCGACACAGAAUAUUUUUGGGAAAAAAACCUUUAUACUGGAGAUUAAAACCAUUACUCUUUUUUAUUUCUUUAGUUAGCAAGUUUUUUUUUAAUGAACAAUUCAGAUAAGCUAAUUGUUAUUAUCCCAGCGAGGCAGGUCUGCGCCCUUUUGCACAAAAGCACCGCUUUUGGAAAACAGCCAUGUGAGAAGACCGUCUCUGCUCAACCCAGCAGGCCUUUAGCAAAAUGGUUGAGCAAUAGCUCUGCUGGGUGCCACUGCGUACCUCAGGCACAUUUGCCAUGCUCUUGCACAUGCCAGAAAGAGGGUGUGGAAAGGUGUGAGAAAGGGAGUUGUGCUCCAGUGGGGUGUGUGAGAAAAUAACGAAUGAUUGUCUCUGUCCACAGCUCUCAUAAAUGACAAAUGUGGCUUCUGUCAACUGCAAGACCUUUGUGGGGAGGGCAGAGUAAUAGCUAAGAAUGCACAUAGCACUCUGUGCCUUUAAGCAUGGGGCUGAUGCCGCCAAAGGCACUUUCCCCCAGCGGGUAGUUUAUGCUUAAUGCAUGCAGAUUUUUGCACACGUUAAUGGCGCCUUUCUUCCCAGUUAGAGCACUCAGACAGUGCAGAUGGUGGAUAUCGCUGUCCCCAAAGUAAGCCCUAAAGCUACCUGGGUCUUCUCACUCCAUGAUUUCAUUUUACCAGUAUGAUGGUGUGAAUGUCUUGUAGAAUCUAGGGCCUCCUGUUCUCAGAGUUUAGAAGCCAGAGACUAGGUUCCCACAACAUGUUAAGCCAUUAUAUAGUUUGCUUGUUUGUGCCUUAAUGCGUGGUGGUUAGCCAGCCAUCAUGGCUUGUGAGCCAUGUGAAGCUAGCCAAAUGCAAUUGAUUCAAUGAGCCAUUGCUUAAGCAAAUCACAGGGUAAGGUGACCCACUCUCCAUACAGAUCUGCCUCUUAGCUGAUUUUUCUAAAAUGAACUUUGGAAAUCUAGGAUAAGGCGCGGGAUGAUUUAGCAGACUUCUUUAAAAAGAAGCCAAGUGGCUGCUAUCUAACAGACCAAACUCAACAUGGCUAACAUUGCCAUCCAGACCUAGUACAUGCAGUUCAUUUCAAUGGGGUAGAUAUGCCGGCUUAGACACGGCACCGUAUGUGGCAUUUCGCCAGCUUUCGAAGACAAGUUUGUGUCCAGCAUUUGCAGAACCCAGUUCUUCUAAUAUGCAUCUCCAUACCUACAUUCCUUUUGAAUUCAGCUGAAGGAAUUCAAACCUAAGAGUAUAAGAGGUGCAACCAUGGGGCAUGUUCCUUGCCCUGUCCAUAAACGUUCCUUGUCAUACCUGUCAAGUAAAGACUUACACCAAAGCUUGGCUGAACUUGGUGACUACAUGAGUAUAGCGCCUUCUUCCAAGAUGUCUUUUUUGACUUCCCACACAAGAUAAUCAUCUAACCAGAAUCAGCCCUGCUUAGCUUCAGAAUCUUGGUAAGGUUGGCCAGGGGCUACCAGCUGCUGGGGUCAUAUAAAAGGACAAAUCGUUGCUUGAAUCAUGCCUAGUUAAACAAAAGGACAGCUGUGAAAGAGCCUGUCCUGCUGGAUAAAAAAAAUCCAAUUUCUAUGAGGAAAGCCACCUCUUCUCUAUAAGAAGAGAGAAGGUCAUGUAGAUUAUUUUUGAGGAAGCUCUAUCUAAAGUGGACCAUCGGUAAGUGGAACACCUUUUAGCAAGAUGGUUAGGGCUUAAUCACAAAAGCAGCUGUCCGAAUGGAUUAAACACCAAACUCUCAGAAAAGUAAUGCUCUUUUUAUGCUUUUCAAACGAUGUUUUUGCUUAAACCAAAAACGGAUGGGUGGUGGGUGGGCUUCCUCCCGUUCCCUGGCAUUUAAUUUGGAAUUUGUAAAAGAGUGUCUGCUUUGGAAAAAAAAAAAAAAGUAUUGUUUUUAAAUGAAGCACUUUAUUAAACUGCAGGAAUUGGAGAACGUCUUAUUUACAGUUGGUGGGCUUUCAAAAAUGUUUAUGGAUUCUGACCUUCCCCUCCCCCGCAAAAAAGUUGCAAAAAUAUGUAUUUGUAAGAGAUGCAUAAAACUUGUAUAAAAAGGU